UUAAUGGAGGUCCAUUAUACG
ensembl:piRNA 21ur-3769 ncRNA